UGGAUCGAAGAGCUAGCUUCAAGCUCUUUUCAAGGUCACUAGGUUGGUUUCAUUAGGAGGUUUUUGGAUCAAAGAGCUAGCUUCAAGCUCUUUUCAAGGUCACUAGUUUGGUUUCAUUAGGGUUUGUGAGGGGAGAGCAAUCGCUGCUCAAAAUCAGUGUUUAUUUUGGUGUUUCGGAUUUUAUAUAAAACAUUGAUGGUUUGCAUUCUCAAUCGGUUUGUGCAAGUCGUGUAGCAUCUAUGGAUCAAAAUUUGGUAUUGUCUGGAUAGUUGGGUGUGCUAAAUGUAUACAAAAAUUUGUGUUAAUCUAACGAUGCAAUCAAGAGAUAUCUGGG
rnacentral:lncRNA from 1 species